AUGCUACAAAUUACUAUAAAACCAUCUCUUCUUCUGCCCCAGAAUCUCUCGUUGAAUAUUCUUGACAAUCAGCAAUUUGAAAGGAACAAGAACAUCAAGGACUCAUUAACCCCCCUUUCCCGCGUUCAAAUCCACCCAAUGAAAAAGGUUAGGGAUGCUUCUCCAGGAUUUUCAAAGGUUAUGAAGUGUGUUUCAAGAUGCCUAUGCUUGUAG